CCUGACCAGGCCACAAAGCAAACGGCACAAAUUCCCGGGAUGCCAGCCCAGCAGGAGAGUCCCUGGUGCUCUUCCAGCUCUCCACAGCAGUUUGAAAAGCCCAGGCUUCUCAUUUCCAGAUUAGGGGCUGCUGGGACCUUGAGAGAGACAGACCUGGGGGGAGUCCAGACUCUGCCUUUACUGUCUGUGUGAUUUCGAGCAGGUCUCUCUCCUAUAAAAUGUGAAACAUGCAGUCAAAUGUGACCGGGUGACUGUGAGGAUUCAGUGAGAUAAUGCACAGUGAGGCUUGGCAUGCAGAUGCACAGUCAGCCCUGACACACUCUUAUUUUCUUUGCUGUCAGGGUCAUAUUCGGGAACAGGAAUGGGGUUUAAUAGGGCUCUUGAGAAAGCAAGAAUGAAACAGGAAAUCUGGAAACCUGGGCCCAGGCUCCAGCGCUGGCUGAUUAAGGGUCUGGGCAAGGUUAUCCCAUGUCUCACCCCUGUGGUCUCCAUACAGGUAAACAGAGGGGCUUGAAUUCCAUGACCCCUAAAGUGCCUUCUGGCUCCAAUAUUCUGUGAUUCGUGACUCUGAGCAAACAUCAUUUUUUUACUGGACUCCAUUAAAUGGAGGAACCAGGGCUGGCUCAAGCCUGUAAUCCCAGACCAGCCUGGCCAACAUGGCGAAACCCCGUCUCUACUAAAAAUACAAAAAUUAGCUGGGCGUGGUGGCGGAUGUCUGUAAUCCCAGCUAUUUGGGAGGCUAAAGCAGGAGAAUCGCUUGAACCCAGGAGGCGGAGUUUGCAAUGAGCUAAGAUUGCACCACUGCAUUCCAGCCUGGGCAACAGAGCAAGACUCUGUCUCAAAAAAAAAAAAAAAAAAAAAAAAAGAGGAACCAGGAGGCCAGGGCCUAUCAGACUUCACAAAGGAGAUUCUCUCAGAGGUUUUCUGCAUAGACUUGGUGGGUGCUUGUGAGUUAAGUAGGGAUGUCCUCACACAGUGGCAAGCUGGUCAGUGAUUCUGAAACCCAGCUGUGCCCCAUGUCCCCAGGGGAUCCAAGCACAGAUUCUCAGACCACCUCAUGCCUAUUGGUUUAGAAUCUCUAAGGGUGUGCUCAGGAGUCAGUAUUUUUGUUGUUGUUUUAGAGACAGUGUCUUUCUCUGUCACCCAGGCUAGAGUGCAGUGCAUAAUCAUGGUUCACUGCAGCCUUGAACUUCUGGGCUGAAGUGAUCUUUCUGCCUCCGCCUUCCAAGUAGCUAGGACUACAGACACUGGCUACCAUGCCAAGCUAAUGUGUUUUUAGUUUUUGUAGAGAUGAAAUCUCACUAUGUUUCUCAGGCUGGUCUGAAACUGGCCUCAGGCGAUCCUCCUGCCUGGGCCUCCCAAAGCGCUGGGACUACAGGCGAGAUCCACUGCACCUGGCUAGGAGUUAGCAUUGUUAUCAAUCUCCCAGGUGAUACCGUCAGCUGUAAGGAUGUGCUUUUGGGACUCUCCAAUAGCGCAGGUUCCACAUGGACAGGGAGGAUGCUCUGCUCUCCUGAGUGUCUUAGUAGCGUGGUAGAAAUCACCCCUCAAAGGGGACAUCUUUGAGUGAAAGCGUCCUCAGCUGCCAUGCUCUGCCCUGUCAGGCGUGAGAGCGCUGUGAAGCAGGCAUUGGGAAUUUGCUUCUCAGGGGCUAGGGAAGUGGCACCUUGAAGGCCUGCAACACCCGAUUGGGCCAAAGGAGGAGUAGAAAGAAUGGGAGGGCCUGUAUAGCAAAGCCCCACAGACAGAAAUGUGUGUCCUCACAGUUCUAGAGGCUGGAAGUCCAAGAUCAAGGCAGGCAGGGUUAGUUUCUCCCGAGGCCUCUCUCCGUGGCUCGUAGAUGGCUGUCUUCAUCUGAUGUUUUCAUGUGGUCUUCCAUCUCUGUGUGUCUGUCCCUUAAUCUGUUCUUCUAAGGAUACCAGUCUUAUUGCAUUAGGGCCACCCUGGUGACCUCAUUUAACCUUCCUUACCUCUUUAAUGGCUCUGUCUCCCAACACAGUCACAUCCUGAGGUCCUAGAGGUCAGGACUUCAACACAUGAAUUUUGGGGGGACCCAAUGCAGCUCCUAGCAGGGGCACACAGGGCAGAGUGGAGAAGGGGAAGGGACGUGAGGCUGAAGGGAGAGGUGGGACAAUGUCACACCUGCUCCUUCUGCUCCACGCUUUUCCCAGGCCGGCCUGGCCUCUCCGCUCUGCACCAGCCUCUGAGGAAUCACCACCACCACCGCACUUGGGAGAUGGAAUGCGAUUUUCCAAAGCCCUUUCCUAGUUCUUACUUUACUUAUUCUUUACAACCAUCCUAUAAGACAGGCCAGCAGGGCAGGGGAGGGAUCUAGUGUUAUUUUGUGGAAAAACAAGAGUGUAAAGAAGUGAGCAGCACAUCUGAGAACACCAUGGUUGGCACCAGGUUUCAUGACCCCCAGAAUGGUGUUCUUUCCGUGGCCACACUGAGCACCUGCUACACAUAAGAUGUGCUUUUCCUUGGCUUCCAGCAACUGGGGGUGCAGUGUCCCAGGAGGGCUAAGAGGUCCAAGUGAGAGCUGCCGAGGGAGUGACAAGGGGUGAGGCAAAGAGAUUCCAUUGCUUUUUAAAAAAAUUAUCUCUCGCAUUCUAUCCUGAAAUGGAACUCCUAGGAGACUAAAGCCCAUUUUGUGUAUUUAGCUAAGUGUUUCUCCUUUUUCUCCCUAUUAAAAGCAUGGGGCUUGCCUAAGUCAUUAAAAAUACAUGUUCCAUUUGCUUUGAUGCAGAGGGUGAGAAGAUGGAAGAGCCAAGGGGACCAGGCUAGUCAUGUCUGGCUGCGCCCCUGGAGCCCCAGAGGCUGAUGGCUGAGCUGAUAAUUAGCAGAAGAUCUGGAGGAUCCCAUUCACUCCACACACACUUAACAAGUGCUCACUAUCCUAGCCCCCAAACAAGAUAUAGCUCUGCUGCCACUUCCUGGAACCUGAGGGGGAGACAGUCAAAUAAAUGGAUGAUGACAUGAUGGUGUAGAAAGGCAAGAAGUGGAGAGAUAUACAUUGAGGCCUUCAAUAAUGGCCCAAUAAAGGGGCCAGGAGACAGGGAGGAGAGGAGGGAGUCGAGGUCUAAGGAAAGAGUGGGGCUGGAGAUUAAUGGUUGCACCUAGCUAGGUCACACCUCUGUGUGUGUGUGUGUGUGUGUGUGUGUGUGUGCGUGCACAAACAUGCAUGAGCACACAUGAGCAUGCACGAGCAUGCACUAGCUCUUGUGACGCACAGCACCUGUCCGGGUCCGCAUUCUCUGUGUUCCUUGGAGCCCGAGCCAUGCAGGUGGAAGCUCUGUGAGAUUCACAGAAUUUGCAGCCAGGGCUGGCAGUUCUCAGGGGCCUGAAUGCUGCAAGUGGCUGAUGACCAGUGGGAGAAGAUGCGAGGGAGAGAGGCUGCCGCCCUGAGGGAAGGCUGAUCGGUGACCACCUAUAAGACAAGCUCAACUGCCUAGGAGUUCUCCUGAGACAAGAUGUUGCUGUGCCAUCCAGGCUGGAGUGCAGUGGUGCAAUCACUGCUCACUGCAGUCUGGAACUCUUGGGCUCAACGGAUCCUCCCACCUCAGCCUCCUGAGCUGGGACUACAGGUGUGCACCACCACAUCUGGCUAAUGUGUUUUUUGUUUUUUUUGUGUGUUUUUUUUUAAUAGAGAUAGAGUCUCCCUACGUUGUCCAGGCUGGUCUCUAGCUCCUGGCCUCGAGUGAUCCUCCCACCUUAGCCUCCCAAAGUGCUGGGAUUACAGGCAUGAGCCACUGCACCCGCACCUGGCCUUACAGUUUCUUUCUUUCUUUCUUCUAACCAGGCUCCCAGAAAUAGCGUUGGAUCCUUGAGACAGCCCAUCACCCUAACACCAAUUUCCUUAGCUCAUAGGAUUGAAAGGAGCAAUGGCCCAGAGAAGAGAAAAGCAGAUGGGGCGGAAGGGCUGCUUCUACAGGAGCCGCCCGGGAGGCUCCAGGCUCAUAAUUUAGUGAGAAGGCAUCACAGACUUUCCCAGGGCAAGGGGACGUCAGCAGAGGAGCAUAAAUGCCAGGAGACAUUUCUCAGACUAUUCUGGCAAAACCUCCCCUGAAGCGAGCCCCGACUUCUGCUGGGAGCCCUAGGAGAGGUGAUGGGUUCAGCUAAAUAAGUGGCCAGGACCUUCCCCAGCUUCGGGCCUUAUCUGGGACUGCCCACCGCCCUUGGACCCGCCUCAGAAGCCAUUCAGACACCUUCACCGCAGUGGGGAGAGCAGCUGCUGGCUAUGAGGUCACCAUGGUGACUGUUGACAGCCGGCAUCCUCAGGCCUGGCCUGGCACGGCCCCGGGGAGCAGAGGGGCUGUAGGCCACAGCCCGCCCACCUGCUGCCUCGGGGCAGCCUGUGAGCAUCGAUCUCCCCCUGGCAGUACCAGUUCAAAAGCAGGGCUCCAAGCGGAGGCAAAUGCUGUCAAAGUGCCCCUCCAGGAGAGCUCUAAGGCAUUACAGACUUAAACUAUUGUCAUUAUAAAUAAAAUCGAACUCAUUACUCAUGAGAUAAUAAAAAUUAUGAUGUUAGAAAAAUCCUGGCCUAGUCAAAAUAUCCUAAUUCUCCACCUGAAUGUCCCCAGAACUUGUGACUCACACCUUUAUCCAGUCUUUCUGAUAUCUUGCUGAAAUCUGUUUUAAGAUUAUUUACUUCUAUUUCUCUGAGGUGCAGGAUGACCAAUAACCUUGCUUCUCAAAAAUCUUCAGCUAUUUUAAGGCGAAUUAAGCCUUCUCUUCUUUAAGCUACAGCAACUUCAAUUACUUUAGCUAGUGCUUUUGUUUUUUUUCUUCUGAGACAGAGUUUUACUCUUUGUUGCCCAGGCUGGAGUGCAGUGGUGUGAUCUCCACUCACUGCAACCUCUGCCUCUCGGGUUCAAGCAAUUCACCUGUCUCAGCCUCCCGAGUAGCUGGAAUUACAGGCGCACGCCACCACGCCCGGCUAAUUUUUGUAUUUUUAGUAGAGAUGGGGUUUUACCAUGUUGGCCAGGCUGGUCUCAAACUCCUGACCUCAGGUGAUCCGCCUGUCUUGGCCUCCCAAAGUGCUGGGAUUACAGGCACGAGCCACCAUGCCCGGCCUAGCUAGUGCUUUUUAAUGACCAAACAUCUUUUUAUUUUAUGUUUUAAUGACCGUGGUAUAUCUGCUCAAUACAUUAAUUUCAAUCGACUUAUUCUGCUCUUAGAAGUCCACUUGCCAAUAAAGACAAGGGAAAAGGAAAAAAGAAUUUGAGGAAAGCAUAGGAAAGUUAUAUGACCAUUUAUCAAGAUGAGAGGACCAGCAGCCAAUUUUUAAAAAAAUGUGUUACUUUUAAUGGUUUUUUUUUUAGAGCAAUUUUUUAUCUCUUUUAAUCAUCUCUAUUGCCCAUCUCUGAAUCCCUUCCAGUUUUCAAUGUUUUUAAGAACGAUGUGGCUGGGCACAGUGGCUCACGCCUGUAAACCCAGUGCUUUGGGAGGCCAAGGCAGGUGGAUCACCUGAGAUCGGGAGUUCGAGACCAGCCUGACCAACAUGGAGAAAUCCCGUCUCUACUAAAAAUACCAAAUUAGCCGGGCAUGGUGGUGCAUGCCUGUAGUCCCAGCUACUUGGGAGGCUGAGGCAGGAGAAUUGCUUGAACCUGGGAUGCAGAGGUUGCAGUGAGCCGGGAUCGCGCCAGCCUGGGCAACAAAAGCGAAACUCCGUUUCAAAAAAAAAAAAAAAAAAAAGGGAUGUUAAGCAAAACGACCCAUUAUUCUAAUCAGGGUUUGAGUUGCUACAUUGUAUCAGAGAAGAACUACUUUCCAAUCUCUGUAAGUCACACAAGUAUACUUUGUUAUAGUCCAGUUAUCAGCUCACUUUGUUUCUUUGCUUCUAACAACACUAACUUGAUAUUUCAUAUUGAGGUUGUGGUCAGCCAGGGCCCCUGAAUUUUUGUUUUUGUUUUCUGUUUUCUAUGCCAGUGCCUGACUAUCAAGUAUCUUGAUAUUAGUAUGGGCUCCCUGCCAUUUCAUUUAGAACUUUGUAAUUGAGGCAUAAUAAACAUGUAUAUAAGAUAACACGUAAUUAUACAACUUGAUACGUUUUCACAAGAAGAAAAUGUCUGUGUAACCACCAUUCAGAUUAAGCAACUUUAUAUUAUCAACAGCCCAGAAGCCCCUCUGCUGUCCUCCUUUACCAUCCUUGCCCCACCCUGAGGAGGUUAACCACUAUCCCGAUUGCUAACACCAUAGAUUAAUUUUGCAUAUUUUUCUUCUUUAAAAUAAUUCAAUCACAUAGUGUGUACUAUUUAGUGUCUGGUUCAUUCACAUUGCCAUUCAUUUCUACUUUCUUUUCUUAUACUUAGCCUUUUCAUAAGCAGGCCUAGAAGGAUCUAGGGGUCUGAGAACCAAGGUGUUUCAACUCCAGACCCAUCUGUUUUGACUAUGGCUAAGUAGCACAGUACCUAUGACAUGCCAGAUCUCUGAAUUAGAAUUUUACUUGAACCAUUUACUGGUUAUGUUGUUCCUUUCACCCUUUGAAAUCAACUACCUCCAUCCUAGGUCAAUUCAUAUUCUUAUAUCAGGGUAACCUUAGAAGAGUGUGUGUGUGUGUGUGUGUGUGUGUGUGUGUGUGUGUCACUGCUUUAGCCCCAUGGGAAAUUAUUUCUGCUAUUAUGAGGGAAAUGAUUGUUGAGAGUUGUGGUUAUGUUAGGGAAGUCUUUAUUUCAGGUGUUCAAUUCAGCAUUUAAUUCCUAGUUGUCGUUGCUGCCAAUACGUUAUAGGAGUGGCAGGUCUCAGAGGCAGGGGAAUUAUGUGUGUGCAAUGCCUCAGAGCAGUGUUUCCUGACCUUUUCCGUAAGUGCCACGGUAAAACAUGAUCAUAUUUAUAUGGCAAACUGGCAUAAGUGGAAGAGAUAUUUUUGUAGUAGUAGCUGAUAACACAUAAGACAAUGUUCUACAGCUACUCAAAUCUUUAUAUUUAUGUAUUUACUUAUAGAUAAAUAUUAUAUGUAACAUAAUAGAAGUAUAUUAUAUGUAACAUAUAUAUGUAUAUUAUAUAUACAUAUACAUAUAAUAUUAUAUGUAACAUAAUAGAAGUGUAUUCAAAUAUAUUUGCAAAUAUAGUUAACAGAUAUUUGUAUUUAAGGAAUGCAAGCUUUUUCUUUUCUUUGUGUCAUAUGCAAUGUUGGACUUUUGUGUGCAUGCCUACAUGAAUAGAAUUUCAAAUCCAAACUAAUUUAUUUUGCAUCAAUUAUUUCAGAAUAAAGAAGUUCUCGUUUUCAGAAUACACACACAUUGUUAGAGCGGUGCUUCAGCAACUAUCUUGGAUGUCACCAAAGGGGCACAUCACUCAAAAUCACAACAGAAAUCUCCCAUCUGUGUGAAGACAGAGGUAGAGCUGGGCCUGCCAGAAGCCCCUGCCUGCUCCUGACUGGUCUUUGGGCUGUGGGCCAUGCUCCCUGGGCACGUGGAACACAAGGUCCUCUAGCUGCUUGUGGGCUUCUUGUCCAUGUACAGCAGCUGCAGACUUUGUGGCUGGCUGCUGAAGCCCAUGGCCAGGUGGCGGAGGCAGAGCAACAGGUGGGGGCGGCUGCACAUGGUGCGUGCCGCCUGCAGGACCCUGGACCAUGCCUGCAGACCCCAUGCUCCCUGGCUGCCCUCCCAGGAGCAUUAAGUGAGGCUCCCCCAGCUGCUCGAGGCCCUGCUCAGCUGCCCUGAAGGAUGAGGGGAUCAUCUUGCAUGGCAUGCCUGCAACUCAUUUGCAGCUUUCUAGUUUGCUCACCAUUCAAAACUUUGCUCCUAAGAUGCUUUAGUGACUGAGACCAAAUGCUCUAGAACCUUCCAUGAAGCAAGCUCAUAUGUGCGCCAGUUGAGACUAGGAGAGCUUUGUUGGAUGACUUCCUGAUUAUCUAGUCAGAAGGCUGAUGAAAAGGUGUCUGUAUGAGUGUGGGGCUAAAGACAUUUACACAGGAUGCAGAAAGGUGACUCAGAGAUCCAGGAAAUAUGAAUCAGGCCUGCUGAGAACCCGUGAGGAUUGGCAGUAGUCUGAGAGAAGAGUUUCAUUCUAAAUUCAGCUGGACCACGUCAGGCUGUAUCAGAGAGGUUUGUCAUAGGCAAUUCAAAUACAGCAACUGAGAAGAGUUUUUAAAACAUUUAAUUCUGUUUUUUAGAGACAAGGUCUUGCUCUGUUGCUCAGGCUGGAGUGCAGUGGUGUGAUCAUAGCUCAUUGCACCCCUCAAACUCCUGGACUCAAGAGAUCCUCCUGCCUCAGCCUCCCAAGUAGCUGGGACUCCAGGUGUGUACCACCAUGCCCAGCUAAUUUUUAAGUUUUUUGGUAGAGAAGGGGUCUUGCUGCAUUGCCCAGGCUGGUCUUGAACUCCUUACCUCAAGUGAUCCAUCUAGCUCGGCCUCCCAAAGUGCUGGGAUUACAGGCAUGAACCACCAUGCCUGGCCCAGCAGAGUUUAAUAAAGAAAUUAUUGACAAGAGUUUACAGAGUUAAGAAAAGUCAAAAAUAGUUAAGGAAACACCACAGGAGGAGGGAGCCAUUAUUCCCUCUAGGCUUGAAGAGAAGGAGCAAGGGGAGGGAGCAGGUAUCAGAACCUGGGGAAAGAAACCCUGUGAGGUGGGAGCUGUAAUCUUUGGUACAGUGUUGAGGCCACUGGCAACCUCCAAUCCAGUGGGAAGGAGCAGGUGGAAAAAAUGCUACAACUCACUCUCCUCCUGCCUCCAGUCUCCUGCCAGUGCCUUCCUCUGGCUAAACCCACGUAGCUGCUGAAGACCAUGGCACCCAUUGGUGCAGUCCACAAAGGCCUGCCUGUGGGACAUAGAGUAGAGAGUGGAAAAAAGAGACACCCUGCACUUCACCAUCCACAGAAUGAUGGCAGGUCGCUAACAUCAUGCUCUCAUCUCAAAUCUAAAGUGUUAGCCAUGAUGCUCUUCAUGGGAGGUUUUGGGGUGAAAGUGAAGAAAGAACAUCAAGUAAUUAACAUAGAAGCUGCUACAUGCUAUACCUGCUUCUGAGGCCCAAGUUAGUAAUAGUGGCUUCGUCCCCUUACUGCCUAUUACCUAUUUUCCUAUUCUCUGAUAGUGCCUCAACCGAGCUGGGUUCGUUAUCUUUAUUCCUUCACGAUCAGCAUCCUUGGUGGUCCUGUUGUUAUUGGGUUGCCUCGAUUUUCCACUGAACAGUGAAUUAAGAGAAUACUAAGCACUGGCCUGUAAAUUCCUGGACUCUGCAUAAAGUCUUCCCUGCCCUCAUUGUAUAGUGAGUGGCAAGCAAAUUCCUCCUUUGUAAUCAUAUCAGAUACCUUGGCCAGCAGUGCGAGCCCCAUUUCUGCCUGUUGGAUCAGUAGAAAGAGAGCCUGAAAUGGUUAGAAGGCAGUCUCAGCUUCCCAUUUAACAGAACCUUGGUUGUGUUCCCUUGUUCUUCCCUUGUGCACAAAGACCUGCAAACCCACUGAGCUCAAGUUUGCAAGGAUCAGAAGCAAACACCUCCUAAGAGGAUGCAACAGGUUUGGUGUAGUGGCUUAUGCCUGUAAUCCCAGCACUUUGGGAGGCUGAGGCAGGAGAAUCACUUGAUGCCAGGAGUUUGAGACCAGCCAGGGCAAUGUGGCAAGACCUCCCAUCUCUACAAAACAUACAGAAAAUUAGUCGGGUGUGGUGGUGUGUGCCUAUAGUCCCAGGUACCUGGGAGGCUGAGGUGGGAGGAUCACCUGGGCCUGGGAAGUUGAGGUUGCAGUGAGCUGUGAUCGUGCCACUGCACCACUGCAUUCCAGUCUGGGUGACACAGUGAGACUCUGUCUCAAAAAAUAAAAAAUAAAAAUAAACCCUGUGCUGCACCUUUUUUUUUAAUCUUAAGAUGAGUUUUCUGAUCACAGGCAAUGUGAUCUAUAGUGAUGAAUAGGGCAUUCUAUAGGGACAGUGUUGGUAGAGUGUUAUGAACAGGGAAACCAAAAACAUGUAGAAUAUAGAUCUAUUCAUAUAAGGACCCAUCACUGCCAUACCAUGUUGGAUGGGAUUUACUAUUAGCAAUCUGCCACCAGAUUGAUGGUGACUUCAGCUCAGCGAAUAAUACAGACCAACCCUGACUUAGGAUGGUUCAACUUACUGACUUUUACAAUGGUGCAAAAGUGACACACAUUCAGUAGGAUCUGUACUUCAAUUUUUGAAUUUUGAUCUUUUCCUGGGCUAGCAAUAUGUGGUACAAUACUCUCUUGUGAUGUUGGGCAGAGGCAGCAGCAGCAGCUCCUGGUCAGCCAGGUGAUCACAAGGGUCAACAACCAACACUCUACAGUGCCCUGUGUGGCCAGAUGACUUUGCCCAAUGACAAGCCAAUGUAAGUGUUCUGAGCAUGGUUAAGGUGGGCUAGCCUAUACUAUGAUGUUUGGUAGGUUAGGUGUAUUAAACACAUUUUCAACUUAAGAUAUUUUCAACUUGCAAUGGGCAUAUGGGGACACAACCAGGUCGUAUGUCUAGGAGCAUUGAUGCCAUAUGGGGAACUCAGCACUGACUUCUGUUAUUGGCUGCACAUUGUUAAGACAAUCACAGUCUUCAUCCCAGAGAAGAGGUGGAACAAGCCACCUCGUACAUGGUCUCAAUGAUUAAGUCCAGGGAUGCCCUCUGGUAGGCACUCAUGUAGGACACAAAUGUCUUCACAAUCUGUGUCUAGAUAGUGAAGUCUACCCAGACACCCUUCCCCAGAACUCCUUGUCACCAAUAUUCCAGUCUUGUUCUUCAGUCCUUGACCAGUUGGCCAUCCCAUUAGCGUCUGCUCAUGAUUCUGUGUAAAUCUGUACUCCAGACCAUUUCUCAUUCCAUUUGAAGUGAAUAAUCUGAUAUCCUUCCCAGAAUGCUGCCUACUGGGAUGAUUUUCCUUCACUACUCGCUUUCACAGCCACAGCUGAAUAGGAAUACAGUGACACUGGCCAUCUGCUCCUGGCUGAUGCUGUGUGUCUUUAAACUGGGCCUGGGGUUUCUCUUCAUUAAUUAGUCAUAGGGGAUUCCUACAAAGCCGAAAAUAUAAGUUGUGAGAGAGGCAAGUAGGUAAUAGGGGCAGGUUCCAAGAGUCUGAGCUAUCUGCUUGAAUUAGGUUUUCCAAGAAAUGAAAGCAACAGGACAUGCAUAUAUACAGAAGGAUCUAUUGUAAGGAAUUGGCUCACUCAAUUGUGAAGGCUUGGUGAGUCCAAAAUGUGAUGGUGGUAGGUCAGCGGACUCAGGAAAAGGUUGCAGUUUGAGUCCAAAGACAGUCUGCUGGUGAAUCCCCACUUGCUUGGGAAAGGUCAGCCUUUUGUUCUAUUCAGGCCUUCAACUGCUUGGAUGAGGCCCACCCACAUUAUAGAGGGCAAUCUGCUUUACUAAAUCAAUGGAUUCAAACUUAAUUCUCAUCCAAAAACACCCUCACAUAAACAUCUGGAAUAAUAUUUGACUAAAUAUCUAGGCACUGUGGCCCAGUCAAGUUGACAUAUAAAAUUAGUCAGCAUACUGCUUAUGCAAUUUAUUUGGG
rnacentral:lncRNA from 10 species